UUUUUCAAAUCAGUGAAAUUAAUCUCCCCGUGAAGAAGCGGGGAUACUCAUAUAAGACGAGAAGACCCCAUGGAGCUUCAAACCCAACUACACCCCUAGCUCUUAUAGCCCCACAACCCCCCCCUAGGCGCCGUGUGCUUGGUUUUAGGUUGGGGCGACCGCGGAGUACAAUAAAACCUCCACAAUGAACGGGAACACCCCCUUAUCUGAGGGCCACACCCCCUAAGAAUUAGAACACUAACAUAAAAUGAUCCAUUACUUGAUCAAUGAACCAAGUUACCCUGGGGAUAACAGCGCAAUCCAUUUCAAGAGCCCCUAUCGACAAAUGGGUUUACGACCUCGAUGUUGGAUCAGGGUACCCCAGUGGUGCAGCAGCUACUAACGGUUCGUUUGUUCAACGAUUAAAACCCU
rnacentral:rRNA from 1 species